rnacentral:rRNA from 1 species
AUUGAACGCUGGCGGCAUGCCUUACACAUGCAAGUCGAACGGCAGCGGACCUUCGGGUGCCGGCGAGUGGCGAACGGGUGAGUAAUAUAUCGGAACGUACCUUUCAGUGGGGGAUAACGUAGCUAAAGUUACGCUAAUACCGCAUAUUCUGUGAGCAGGAAAGCAGGGGAUCGCAAGACCUUGCGCUGAUUGAGCGGCCGAUAUCAGAUUAGCUAGUUGGUGAGGUAAAGGCUCACCAAGGCGACGAUCUGUAGCGGGUCUGAGGGGAUGAUCCGCCACACUGGAACUGAGACACGGUCCAGACUCCUACGGGAGGCAGCAGUGGGGAAUUUUGGACAAUGGGCGCAAGCCUGAUCCAGCCAUGCCGCGUGAGUGAAGAAGGCCUCGG